GCGCGCAAGGCACCGGUGGCAGCGGCGACGGCAGCUGCGACAGCAACCCCUGCUGGGCCGAAACUGGGCAGAGCGGAGCAGACGUCUGAAGCAGCGCGAGUGAGGCGCGAGGGUAGCGCCCGCGCCCGGGAAGACCCCUCGGCGCGAACCGGCAGCCCAGCCCCGGGUCCCGGUUCCCAAGGCCCCGCCUCUAGGGCCUGGGGACUAAUCGGAUUGAGAGCGCGCCGGCCCGGGCCGCGAACUCGCCAAUUGCGGAGGGCGGUGGCCACCGCCCAAUCCGGAGCAGACAGGUGCGAGGUCCGGAAGGCGGAGGCCAAUCGGCGGCGGUUGCGACCUGCUGGGGCAGGUCUCGGCCAAUAAGGAGGCUCGAGUGACAUCUUCGCGCACCAAUCGGGAGUGAGGGAGCAUUCGUGCCCGCUCGCCCUUCCGGCCAGACCUCUAUUUACCAGGGGCGUGCAGCCCGCUUGCCAAUCAGAGCGCGGCUGAGCGGCCCCGCAGCCAACCCCCGAGGAGCGGCCGGCUGGCGUCCGCCGCGCCCAGGAGUUGGGGAUGUCCUACAAACCCAUCGCCCCUGCUCCCAGCAGCACCCCUGGCUCCAGCACCCCUGGGCCGGGCACCCCGGUCCCUACAGGUGAGGAUCCAGCUCCACCCCUGCUCGCCUGCCGGGCGGUCGAGGUCUCGAAGAGAAGACGGCCUGAGUUCUGCAAUACUGGGCCUGCCGCCUACCCUCGCUGAGCCUCAGUUUGCUGGCCUGUGAAGUGGGCGUGGUCACGUAUCAUCCAUGCCCGGGCCCUAGUCAGAGAGUGCCUGGCAGAGACAGAGCGGAACGCCCGCACGUAACAGGAAGCGCCUCGGCCUCAGCGUCUGGACCUAUCCGGCCACUGCAGAGCACCCGCUUCUCCCUGGCCUUCAUCCCGAGUUGCACUAACCAUCCUGGGCUUCCUGUCCUGUGUCCCUUGGUGGGUCCCCUCCAGGAACCAAGGAGUGGCCCUCCAGGUGGCAGCACUAAGGACACCCCCCCACAACAAGAGUUAGCAGCGAGGUCCCCAUGAGUCCCACCCAUGACCUGCCGACAGUGUUGCCCACCGGAACUUUUGUGGCCCCUACCGCUCAGCCCUUCCCAGCACUUCUCCCACUUUGUCCCGAGCCUCCUUCUCCCCCAGCAGGGGCACAGGCCUGGCACCUCCCUGCCUUGUGUCCUGAGCCAUAGUGACUCUUUUAUCUGUGUGUCUUUUGCUAAAUAUGCCCUUUUUAUAUUAAUAAAAGAUGAUUUGGAGUUGUGCUCUC
rnacentral:lncRNA from 1 species